UCUCUAGAUCCAUUUGUUGGUUUGAUGAUUCACCCUAGCUUUCAUCUUUACAUGUUUUCUAAUUGAGUUAAAUCUUCUAAUAAUUUUGCAUAAUGCAUAAGCAAGAGAAUCUUUCGCAAGCUGAUGCAGCUUAUUGACUAAGACAGCAACAACAUGGAGAGAGAAGCAUAGAGAGACGCCAACGUCUUGCUUUCUUUGAGAUUGCUAGGCUUGGGUUAUCACCCUCCCUUUGCUUAUCUCC
rnacentral:lncRNA from 1 species